UACAGAGGUCUCAAGCGUUGUUCGGAUUCAUUGGGCGUAAAGGGUGCGUAGGCGGCGCGGUAAGUCGGGUGUGAAAUCUCGGAGCUUAACUCCGAAACUGCAUUCGAUACUGCCGUGCUUGAGGACUGGAGAGGAGACUGGAAUUUACGGUGUAGCGGUGAAAUGCGUAGAUAUCGUAAGGAAGACCAGUGGCGAAGGCGGGUCUCUGGACGGCAACUGACGCUGAGGCGCGAAAGCCAGGGGAGCAAACGGG
rnacentral:rRNA from 1 species